rnacentral:rRNA from 1 species
AUUGAACGCUGGCGGCAUGCUUUACACAUGCAAGUCGAACGGUAACAGGCCUUCGGGUGCUGACGAGUGGCGAACGGGUGAGUAAUGCAUCGGAACGUACCCAGAGGUGGGGGAUAACGCAGCGAAAGCUGUGCUAAUACCGCAUGUGAUCUGAGGAUGAAAGCGGGGGACCGAGCAGCAAUGUUUGGCCUCGCGCCUUUGGAGCGGCCGAUGUCGGAUUAGCUAGUUGGUGGGGUAAAGGCCUACCAAGGCGACGAUCCGUAGCUGGUCUGAGAGGACGAACAGCCACACUGGGACUGAGACACGGCCCAGACUCCUACGGGAGGCAGCAGUGGGGAAUUUUGGACAAUGGGCGCAAGCCUGAUCCGGCAAUGCCGCGUGCGGGAAGAAGGCCUUCGGGUUGUAAACCGCUUUUGGCAGGAACGAAACGGUGUCCGCUAAUACCGGGCGCUAAUGACGGUACCUGCAGAAUAAGCACCGGCUAACUACGUG